AAGAUUGAACGGGAUUUCACGAUUGAUGGAAGAACGACGACGAGCAACACUGUACGCGGACCCCUUGUCACUUUCCCUCAUCGACUUAACCUUUAAACUCCGGUGUUGUACCGCUUGCUAAACAUCGGCCCUCUUCUGUCGGUCCAGGAUAGUUUUAAUCUGCCGUUUUCUUGGAAAUUUCACCGGUUUUUUUUUUCCGACUUCGUUUCCAAUGAUAAUGGCAAGUUUGCCGUGCUUCGAUUGAUCCGCGAGCGACGAGGACAAGCGGUGCCUCUUCACGACAGUAAUAGCUCGCUUGCAUCAUUUCCCCUCAACAUUGCAAACACCAUUUGAGCUUUAAUAUAAUUUAUUUACAAGAGAAUGGACGAUACAAGCAAUCUCGACAGGCAGAUAGAACAGUUAAAGAAAUGUGAGAUCAUCAAAGAAGAUGAAGUCAAAGCCCUUUGUGCAAAGGCAAGAGAGAUUCUGGUUGAAGAGAGCAACGUUCAGCGUAUCGACUCUCCUGUUACGGUUUGUGGAGAUAUUCACGGACAAUUUUAUGACCUGAAAGAACUUUUUAAAGUUGGUGGAGAUGUUCCUGAAACAAAUUAUCUUUUUAUGGGAGACUUUGUCGAUAGAGGUUUCUACAGCGUCGAAACAUUUUUAUUACUUCUUGCAUUAAAGGUACGCUACCCUGAUAGGAUAACAUUAAUAAGGGGUAACCACGAAUCACGUCAAAUCACCCAAGUUUAUGGAUUCUACGAUGAAUGCCUAAGGAAAUACGGUAGUGCGACUGUCUGGAAGUACUGUACAGAGAUAUUCGACUAUUUAAGCCUUUCUGCUAUAAUCGAUGGAAAAAUAUUUUGUGUGCACGGUGGACUAUCUCCUUCAAUCCAAACACUCGAUCAAAUUAGAAUAAUUGAUAGGAAACAAGAAGUACCUCAUGACGGGCCUAUGUGCGAUUUACUUUGGUCUGAUCCAGAAGAUACCCAAGGCUGGGGCGUAUCUCCGAGAGGCGCUGGUUAUCUUUUUGGAUCUGACGUCGUAGCCCAGUUCAACAUAGCCAACCAAAUAGACAUGAUUUGUAGAGCCCACCAGCUAGUGAUGGAGGGGUACAAAUGGCAUUUCAAUGAAACUGUUCUUACUGUCUGGUCCGCACCAAAUUAUUGUUACAGGUGUGGAAAUGUGGCAGCUAUAUUAGAAUUAAAUGAACACCUACAAAGGGAUUUCACAAUUUUUGAAGCUGCACCACAAGAUUCUCGUGGCGUACCAUCAAAAAAGCCACAAGCCGAAUAUUUCCUGUGAAAAAACCCCAACCAGACACCUGUAAUGAAAUUCAUCAUUAGAGAUGAUAUGUGCGAUCUUAACGACAAAGAAAGCAGGCGCACUCCGGGAAAAGGGACUAAGGAAAAAAGUAAGACUCACCGGGUGCUUCCUAUUUCAGUUACAGCCUGCUAAUAAUGUGUGGUGGUUAGUGACCGUUAGUUGAUGAUUAUUCGGAAAUCGUGAGAUGCA
rnacentral:misc_RNA from 1 species